rnacentral:rRNA from 1 species
UACGUAGGGGGCGAGCGUUGUCCGGAUUUAUUGGGCGUAAAGAGCUCGUAGGCGGUUCGGUAAGUCGGAUGUGAAAUCUCCACGCUCAACGUGGAGGGGCCAUUCGAUACUGCCGUGACUCGAGUCCGGUAGGGGAGUGUGGAAUUCCCGGUGUAGCGGUGAAAUGCGCAGAGAUCGGGAGGAACACCCGUAGCGAAGGCGGCACUCUGGGCCGGUACUGACGCUGAGGAGCGAAAGCGUGGGGGGCAAACAGG